UUUCCGUAGGGUGACCUGCGGAGGGAUCAUUACCGAGUUUACAACUCCCAAACCCCUGUGAACAUACCACUUGUUGCCUCGGCGGAUCAGCCCGCUCCCGGUAAAACGGGACGGCCCGCCAGAGGACCCCUAAACUCUGUUUCUAUAUGUAACUUCUGAGUAAAACCAUAAAUAAAUCAAAACUUUCAACAACGGAUCUCUUGGUUCUGGCAUCGAUGAAGAACGCAGCAAAAUGCGAUAAGUAAUGUGAAUUGCAGAAUUCAGUGAAUCAUCGAAUCUUUGAACGCACAUUGCGCCCGCCAGUAUUCUGGCGGGCAUGCCUGUUCGAGCGUCAUUUCAACCCUCAAGCACAGCUUGGUGUUGGGACUCGCGUUAAUUCGCGUUCCUCAAAUUGAUUGGCGGUCACGUCGAGCUUCCAUAGCGUAGUAGUAAAACCCUCGUUACGUGGUAAUCGUCGCGGCCACGCCGUUAAACCCCAACUUCUGAAUGUGACCUCGGAUCAGGUAGCAUGCCCCCGCCC
rnacentral:rRNA from 1 species